GUCCUUUAGAUUAUAAUUUAAGGUCUGACCUGCCCACUGAUUAAUUGAAUGGCCGCAGUAAUUUGACUGUGCAAAGGUAGCAUAAUCAUUAGUUUUUUAAUUAAAAGCUUGUAUGAAUGGUUGGACGAAAUAAAUUCUGUCUCUUUUUAAUAAGUAGAAUUUAAUUUUUAAGUUAAAAAGCUUAAAUAGCAAUAAAAGACGAGAAGACCCCAUAGAUCUUUAUAAUUUUAUUUAUGUUUUUAAUUAGGAAUAUUUUAUUGAUUAUAGGUUUAAUUAUUAUAUUGGGGUAAUAGGAAGAUUGAUUUAAUUCUUUUUAAAAUUUUUCAAUGAUGUUUGGUUAUUUGAUCCUCUUUUAGAGAUUAUAAGAUUAAGUUACCUUGGGGAUAACAGCGUAAUUUUUUUAGAGAGUUCUUAUCGAUAAAAAAGUUUGCGACCUCGAUGUUGGAUUAAAAAUUAUUCUGGGUGCAGAAGUUCAGAGUCUUGGUCUGUUCGACCAUUAAAUUUUU
rnacentral:rRNA from 1 species